rnacentral:pre_miRNA from 1 species
AUCACCUGGGAAUUUGUUAAAAUGCAGAUUCUGAUUCAGUAUACCUGGGGUGGGGCCUGAAAUUCUGCAUUUCUAAUAAACUCCCAGGUGAUGGUGA